AAGAUCUACAGGAUGGCAGAACCGACACCAAGCCCAGGUUAGAACCAGUCCCUGACACCGAGAGCUGCGUUUUAGUGCAAGUUUAUACUCAACAAAAGGAAGAUUCUCCGAGAAAUGGACAAACAUUGGAUGAGGAUACUGCUGAUGUGCUCAUGGCCCUGGCACCACGUGAGGAAAUCCACAUGGGUGGAAGGCUGAGGGAAAAAUGGAGCUCAGUGCUGUAGUGGCUCCAAGACCUGGAGGUUUUGUGUCCCCCCUCCCAUACCCUCCACUCCUCCAAAGAGAAGGAAAAUAAAAUUCCAGGAGAACACUGGAAUCCAUGAGCUGUUUGCAGCCCAAAGAAACUUCAAUUACCACACCUUUUGUCCAAAUUUUCCCCAAAUUAAAUUGCAGCUUUAUCAAUUCUAGCCAGUGUUAAUGCUAAUAAUCCAAUUAAAUGCAAAGCGAGUCUAAUUAAGGUAAAUGAAGGAUUUCACUGGCAGCAUUAAGAACAUUUAAAAUUAGCAAGAAGGGAAAAGCCUGAGAAACACCCAGGGACUGAGUGUACUCCAGUGCCAGGCCCCUAAAACGUAGAAAACUUCCCAUUUUUAAGGUGGAAAAUAUUCAUCAGGGGCUGGCUGGCGGGUCUGGAGUCUGUUCCCAGGGUUCACAGGGAAGUUCUGUACCUGGAAUCUCCCUCUUGAACAUCUUCUCAUCUCAGCUGAGUUUGUCUGCACUCAAAUCUCUAACACCUCGCUACCCAUGACUAAAAAGAAUGGGAUAAAAGAGCAUUUUUCCAGGGUACCAUCAGCAGCUGGACUGUGGGUUCUUCACUCUGAAGCCAUCAGAAUAAACCUCUUCACUGGACACAUGGAGCUGGUGGGAGUCAGCUCCUUCCAGAAGCUCUGGCCACUCCUCAGAAAGCUGUGGAAGUCAGCCAGGAGACACCUGUGGCCAGGUGAGUGAGGGACAGACAGCACUCCAGGAGCAAGGAAACACUGAGGAGGCACUUGGGUUUAACGUAGAAAGGAAAACUGAAAUUAUAAAAAAAGACCCAGAAUAGCACAAUUUGCAGAAGACACAGUGCCAUUGGUUAUAUUCCUUUUUUCCAUUAGUUAUCUUCCUUUUUGGGUUGUUUUUAGCACCCUGCACUCCCCAUUCCCCCAAACCAGGGGGAUCACCCCAUUUCUGUGCUGUAGAGGGGAAGUGGCUCCACACUCACUUUGUUAAUGUAAUGAAGAUCCUUUAAGUGACUCCACCUUUCCAAGUGUAGGGUUCUGAGUUACUACCCAAUAAACAGAGCAGCCACUUCCUUUAAAAAGGCCAAGUGUUUAUUUUUGUAGGGAAUAAAAAUUCCUGCAAUCCAAGAGGGACUCCAUGGGACAAACAGGGAAAAGACACAAUUCUCCUCUAGACAAGAUCAGCUUCAAGCAGUGCAGGAACUGAAGUGCCCCACAGAGCCCUCGGGGCACAAACUGGGGCUCAUUCCCCCCAAAUGUCCCCCAGCAGUGACACAGACACAAACAGCCACAGGGACAUUCCCAGCCAGCACUACACACAGUUUUAGGGACAUUCCUACAAGGAUCAGGUUUGGGAUGCCAAGGAAAAUCCAGCCAGAGGAUGGGAUCCAGUGCUGAGUUACUCCAGUAGUUUCUGCUGCAUUAAAUAGAUGGAAAUAUAGAAAUGAUAUAAAAACAACUCCUUGGUCCUGCCCUGCUCCUGCAGCUCCCAGGGGGUCACAUUAAUUAAUGUCAUUAGCAAGACUGCCCUAACAAAUGGCCCACCAGGCUGCCUGGUCCAAAGCACAGGCUUUACCAUCCCCUGCUUCCUCAGCUAAUUAAUCAAGUGCUGGGUGAUAAUUAAACAUAAAUAGGACAUGCAGAGCAGGUUUUUCCCCUAGGGGAUGGCUGGAAGUGCAUGAGGGAAGGAUGGAAACCAGGAAUAGCUGGGAGAGGUCCCUACAAGCCCAACCCCCAGCACAGAGCAGAGGGUUGGGAGGAGAGGAAAACCCCUUGGAAUGCUCCUGGUCACUCCUGGGUACCCAGCACUGCAUCCUGCCAGGAACUUCCUCUGAGCUGCCCAAGGCCAGGUCUGCCAGGAGCUGAAGGAGCCUGGAACAGGAGCUCUUCCCUUUCCAAGGCUUUUCCUGGGGCUGCCUCAGCUUUGGGAGCACCUCUGAGGGCUCUCUACUCCCAGAGGUGAUGGAAACAACACCCCCAGGGCUGCUCCACACCUGGAGAUCCUUUGGAACUCUGAGCACCUUCAGCUCCUGCCAAAUCCCACUCUGCAGGACUGGGGAAGCUUCCUGAAGCUGCCCAGCUCCCUCCAAGCCCACCUCCUCCUCCAUCCCAGCCAGGAUGGCUCUGGGUCAGAAAAGGUGGAUUUUUAUUCCAAGGAAUUAACUUGGAAAAGCAAUCACUAAGCACAAGAACAGACCAAGAGAGACCCAAAAGCUUUUACAAACCACUUUUCCUCACCCCUAAAGAGGCCAUGGAGAAUUAAAACUAUGGACAACCCAAUUAUUCCCACUUUUUCCCUGCAGAGCAAACAGCACCAUUUGGAUUUUCUCUCCCACAGGUGACAACAGCAAAAGAAAACCCCAAUUUAAGAAUCCACAGAACAAAGUUCAAUUUAAGACGUCUCAAAUGAAGCUCCACGAGUCCCUCUUGUGCUUCAGAGUAGGAGUUUUAACACAGAGUAUGAGAGGACACUACAAGGUUACACCUGGUUGCAGCACAGGAGACACUGGGAAAAGGCAGGAAGGCAUGGAAUGUCCUGGAGAAACCAUGGAAUGUCCUGGUGAGGCCAUGGAAUGUCCUGGUGAGGCCAUGGAAUGUCCUGGUGAGGCAGGAGCAGCUCCAGAAGAGGGAGAGUUUUCCACAAGCAGAGCCCAUCAUCAGCAAAUCAGAUCCCUCUUCCCUCCCAGUUUUCCCAGUGACAGGAAUCCAAAUGGGAAGAACUGCACUGCUCCAAACAAGAGCAGGAUUUCUGACCUCACAAAGCACAGCUGCUCCCCUAGGAAUCAAUCAGGUGCAGGAACUUUCUGCAGCAGCAGCAGCAGAUUCCCAAUACCAGUAACAGCUCCUCCAUUCCUUCCACACUUCCAGGGAGGAGAGGAUGCUCCAAGAUGCUCCAGGGCAGGGAACACAGCUUUCCUGGGCAGCAGAGAAUGCUCCAGGGCAGGGAACACAGCUUUCCUGGGCAGCAGAUCCCAGCUGAGCUCAGGACACUGCAGGGCUCUGAGCACCUCCUCACUUCUGCUCUUCAAACAGCCCAGAGCUGCCACCAAAACCAAAGAGCUUCUCAUUCACUGGUUUUCAAACCAUGGGCUCGUGGAAAAAGAGGAAACCCUGCAAUCUUUUCCAGCUCCUAAAUUCCAGCAUCAGCAUAAAAGGCUUUUAAUACACUGCAGCCUUUGCCUGAGCCUGCACACAUGAAAUCCAAGAGGUUUAAAAGACAUUAAUUCUUGAGUUUGGCUCUGUUUUGCCACUGGAGUUAAAAGCAGCAAGAUUACUCCAAGCUUACAACUCUGAGUAACCUGGUGGUAGUUGUACACGUUUGCAGUAACACUGAAGUUUUGUGGAGACAACCUUUUUAGAAACAAGGAAAGAUUAUUUAACUCCUCCAAUGGCAAUUCCAAAGGCAAAGAACCAUACAUUUCCAGGAGCCUUCUGCAAGCUGGAUUUGUACAAUAAUUAAGCAAUGGCACCUUUAAUUCCUUCAGUAGUCAAUCAAAACCCUCUCCAGUUCUGGAUCUCUAAUGAAAAUUAGAGAAUUUAUUAAAGAUACUCAAAGAACUGA